UCUUUGCUUCCUUUAUUCAUAAAUUCUGGGAGCAGAUUUAGGACAUUUGGCCCAUCAAAUCUACUCCGCCAUUAAAUCAUGGCUGAUCUAUCUUUCCCUGUCAACCCCAUCCUCCUGCCUCUGCCCCAUUAA